rnacentral:rRNA from 1 species
GUGUCAGCCGCCGCGGUAAUACGGAGGGUGCAAGCGUUAUCCGGAUUUACUGGGUUUAAAGGGUGCGUAGGUGGGUAGGUAAGUCAGUGGUGAAAUCUUCGAGCUUAACUCGGAAACUGCCAUUGAUACUAUCUGUCUUGAAUACUUUGGAGGUAAGCGGAAUAUGUCAUGUAGCGGUGAAAUGCUUAGAUAUGACAUAGAACACCAAUUGCGAAGGCAGCUUACUACACAGUCAUUGACACUGAGGCACGAAAGCGUGGGGAUCAAACAGGAUUAGAUACCCUGGUAGUCC